rnacentral:lncRNA from 1 species
GUUUUUCUUCAUGAAUCUUUGGCAGCACCUCUUGACAAAGCUUGUUGUAGGCCUCUAGGCAUUCUGGUUUUACAUUGUGAAUCUGUAGUUUAUACAGACUGCUGGUCUCUCUUUUGGCUAGAAGGUUGGAGUGAGCAUCUUUCCUUGGAUCGACUUUGCGAACAAAUAGCGAUUUUAACCAACUGUCUUCACGAGGUCUGCUAGCUGAAGAUACCAUCCCCCGAUGUGGCCGUGCGCUGCGCCUGCAGCAGGAAGGCGGGGGGGCGCCACAGCCCGGGCGCUGGGAGCGGUGAGCGCGGGCAGACGCGCUGCGGGACAGCAGCCGGGCCGGGGACGCGCC